UUGAGUAUAAAGAACUUUAGAGAUACAUCAUUUUAGACAAACCUUUCAUUUUAAAGGGGGAGGAAACUAACCUUUAAAAAGGUUAAAUCACUUGACCCAGGUUACACAGAGAGUUAGUGAAAAUAGUGUCUCUGGGUUCUAUGAUGGGGAUGUAUAAGAAAAUAUAAGGGAAGAAAGGAAGUGGGUCUCUUUCAUUUUGAUCCAGAAACACAAAUCCUUUAAAAGCAUAGAUAGACCUUUCUAAAAAACAGCUGGCAUCACCUGCAGAGCUGAAGCAAAUGCUGUGGUUCGUAUCCAAGGAUUAUAGUCCAAAGAAAGGAUGAACCUGUGCUUCUGCAAACUAUCUUGAUUCCAGCUGGCCUGCUUAAUGCAGGUAUAACCACGGUAAAAUUAUGAAGUGUACCAUGGUAAACCGACUGAGCUCUUCCCCAUCAACUCUGAAUCUAAUGAGGGGCUACCUACAUGCUGAGGAUUCAACACUGCUAUAUGCUGUCUGUACUCCAACACCUUUUUUGUGAAGUCUUGAUGGAAACCUCCACAACCCCCUACAUCCAGCAACCUGCAUUCCUCCAUAACCAUCACCACAUGGAUAACUCCAGCUCCAGCAGUAGGUCUGCCACCAGCUUUAGCAAUAGCCAGGGUCCCUUGGACCAUGGCUUAAGCAGCUUCUCAUUGUUUGGGCAAUUGUAUACCAUCAUAUGAAUCAGAAGGAAAUUACUUCCUAUGCACCACCUGUGAGCAGGCUGCCCCUCAAUCCAGGAUCUCUUAAAUAAAAGUUUUACUUUUA